rnacentral:tRNA from 2 species
GGUCCUGUAGCUCAGCUGGAUAGAGCAUCGGUUUCCUAAACCGUGUGUCAUGGGUUCGAAUCUCAUCAGGAUCA